AAGCCCAGUUUAAACGGAUGCAACAUUGUCCAACAUUGUUGGACCAACAAUGUUGGACGAUUGUUGGUCAACGUGUUCAAGCGGAUGCAACAAUCCAACAACUUUUAGCAGUUUAAUUAGUACAAAAUUCUGUUUGAUAAUAGGAACAGUGUGACCCGUGUGUUGAUUGGACAGUAUUUACUGUAUAUUAAUUAAAUAUACCAUAGAUUUUCAAUGUUAUUGACAAUGACAUUGUUUUCAUGUUUUCAAGAUGGCUGCUUUUGCUUGCUGCAUGUGUAGGCCUCUACAUUCUGUAUAUUUUAACAUUAUUAUAUGGAUUUUUACCUCAUCGUUAGUAUGAAUAAAGUUUUUUUUAAACUAUAAUACUAUAUCAGGUGAGAUUAUCGCAUAUUUCUUGUCAAAUUUAAAUAAUGUCAAUGGGAACGAUGACGUUGUACUGAUUUUUCGCCAAAUGUUGUACGAUGUUGGAUGAAAAGUAGUUGAACAAAAUCAAACUGGAUCCAACAUAGUGCAACAAUAUCCAACAUGGUGUUUAAACGGACCCAACAUGUUGGACACAACAAUGUUGGGUGAUGUUGGUCCAACAUGUUGCAUCCGUUUAAACAGGCCUU